AAUUCAUGGUGUGGACAAACCCUUAAUAGCUUUUUGUAUCUUUCCCAAGCGUCGAAAAGGGAUUCACCAUCCUGUUGAGUGAAUCUAGUUAUUUGGGUUCGUAGGAU